rnacentral:rRNA from 1 species
GAUGAACGCUAGCUACAGGCUUAACACAUGCAAGUCGAGGGGCAGCAUGGUCUUAGCUUGCUAAGGCCGAUGGCGACCGGCGCACGGGUGAGUAACACGUAUCCAACCUGCCGUCUACUCUUGGACAGCCUUCUGAAAGGAAGAUUAAUACAAGAUGGCAUCAUGAGUUCACAUGUUCACAUGAUUAAAGGUAUUCCGGUAGACGAUGGGGAUGCGUUCCAUUAGAUAGUAGGCGGGGUAACGGCCCACCUAGUCUUCGAUGGAUAGGGGUUCUGAGAGGAAGGUCCCCCACAUUGGAACUGAGACACGGUCCAAACUCCUACGGGAGGCAGCAGUGAGGAAGAUUGGUCAAGGGGCGAGAGCCUGAACCAGCCAAGUAGCGUGAAGGAUGACUGCCCUAUGGGUUGUAAACUUCUUUUAUAAAGGAAUAAAGUCGGGUAUGGAUACCCGUUUGCAUGUACUUUAUGAAUAAGGAUCGGCUAACUCCGUG